GACGAACGCUGGCGGCGUGCUUAACACAUGCAAGUCGAGCGGAGCGGCGAACGGGUGAGUAACGCGUGAGUAACUGCCCCCCUCUCUUGGAUCACAGUUGGAAACGGCUGCUAAUCCAGGAUAGUGGGGGAUGACUCGCGUCCUAUCCGCUUUUUGGAGGGGUAGUGGCUUACCAAGGCGACGACGGGUGGCCAGCCUGAGAGGGGGACCGGCCACAUUGGGCUCGGAUACCGCCCAAACUGCUACGGGCGGAAGCAGUGGGGAUUAUAGCACAAUGGGGGAAGCCCUGAUGCAGCAACGCCGCGUGCGGGAGGACGGGCUUCGGGUAGUAAACCGCUUUCAGCCAUGACGCGGUAGUGGCAGAAGAAGCACCGGCUAACUACGUGCCAGCCGCCGCGGUAAUAC
rnacentral:rRNA from 1 species